UUCCUCGUACCGCAGGGCCCCCUCCCUUCCCCAGGCGUCCCUCGGCGCCUCUGCGGGCCCGAGGAGGAGCGGCUGGCGGGUGGGGGGAGUGUGACCCACCCUCGGUGAGAAAAGCCUUCUCUAGCGAUCUGAGAGGCGUGCCUUGGGGGUACCGGAUCCCCCGGGCCGCCGCCUCUGUCUCUGCCUCCGUUAUGGUAGCGCUGCCGUUAGCGACCCGCUCGCAGAGGACCCUCCUCCGCUUCCCCCUCGACGGGGUUGGGGGGGAGAAGCGAGGGUUCCGCCGGCCACCGCGGUGGUGGCCGAGUGCGGCUCGUCGCCUACUGUGGCCCGCGCCUCCCCCCUUCCGAG
rnacentral:lncRNA from 1 species